rnacentral:rRNA from 1 species
UGUGCCGCUUGCGAGGGCGUAUGGUGGAUGCCUUGGCAGACAGUACCGAUGAAGGACGUUUGAGGAUGCGAUAAUCCUAGGGGAGCCUCCAACAUGGCUUUGAUCCUAGGGUCUCCGAAUGGGGGAACCCGCCGGCCGUCAUGGGCCGGCACCGCCUAUGGGCGGGGGGUACGCAGGGAAGUGAAACAUCUCAGUACCUGCAGGAAGGGAUACUCCGUGAGUAGUGGCGAGCGAAAGCGGAUCAGACCAAACCGGUUGCGCGUGAUACCCGUCGGGGGUUGCGUUGCCGGUGUUGUGGGAUCACGUGUCCCGGUUCCGACGGACCGGGCGGGAGUCAUAAAACGGCUUGCCAGGGGAACAGGCUUGAAGGCCUGGCCGUAGAGGGUGCCAGCCCCGUACCUGGACGUGAGCCGUCUUCCGAUCGUGUUGUCCCAAGUAGCGCGGGCCUCGUGGAAUCCCGCGUGAAUCAGCCCAGACCGUUGGGUAAGUCUAAGCAUACCUGUCUGACCGAUAGCGUACCAGUACCGUGAGGGAAAGGUGAAAAGCACCCCGGGAGGGGAGUGAAACAGUUCCUGAAACCGUGCGCCCACAAACCGUCGGAGCCUCCGUGUGGGGUGACGGCGUGCCUAUCGAAAAAUGAGUCUGCGAGUCAGUGGCGGGUGGCGAGCAUAAGCCGUGUGGCGUAUGCGUAGCGAAAGCGAGUCCGAAUAGGGCGUUUUCUAGUCGCUUGUCCUGGACCCGAAGCGGGAUGAUCUAGCCCUGGGCAGGUUGAAGCGCGGGUAAGACCGCGUGGAGGACCGAACCCACCUGGGUUGAAAACCGGGGGGAUGACCUGGGGCUAGGGGUGAAAGGCCAAUCAAAUUCCGUGAUAGCUGGUUCUCUCCGAAAUGCAUUUAGGUGCAGCGUCGGUUGAUUGCGUCGCGGGGGUAGAGCUACCGGAUGCUUGCGGGCCCUUGUUGGGUACCAACAGCAGCCGAACUCCGAAUACCGUUGACGUGUAUUCCGGCAGUGAGUCGGCGGGGGAUAAGCUCCGUCGUCGAGAGGGAGACAGCCCAGACCGUCGUCUAAGGUCCCGAAGCGUGUGCUAAGUGGGAAAGGAUGUGGAGUCGCAUAGACAGCCAGGAGGUUGGCUCAGAAGCAGCCAUCCUUGAAAGAGUGCGUAACAGCUCACUGGUCUAGUGGUUCCGCGCCGACAAUGUAGCGGGGCUCAAGCACACCACCGAAGACGCGGCAGCAAUCUUCAUGGUUGCUGGGUAGGAGAGCGUCCUGCAUGGGGCGAAGCGGCCGGGUAACCGUGCCGUGGACCGUGUGGGAGUGAGAAUGCAGACAUGAGUAGCGAGAGACGGGUGAGGAUCCCGUCCGCUGGAUGACCAAGGGUUCCGGGGCCACGUUCGUCGUCCCCGGGUGAGUCGGGUCCUAAGGCGAGGCCGACAGGCGUAGUCGAAUGGAUGAACGGGUGGAUAUUCCCGUACCGACCAUGGACCGGCAAAACCGAGACGGUGAGUACUAACCUCCGCCUCGUGGUGGUUCCUUCCUUCGGGUUGGUAUCGUCGCGUGGUGUUGGGACUGUAGCCGCAGUAGGUCAGCGCAGGGGUGACACGGAAUGGGAGCCGGCCGCGGAGGUGGUUUUCCGUGGUCAAGCACGCAGCCAGUCAUGUAGGCAAAUCCGCAUGGCGUGCAUGGCGAGGUGUGAUGAUGGGAGCCGUUAUGGUUCGAUAUCCGGUUGUCCAGGCCGUCGAGAAAAGCCUCGGCGUGAGGGCCAUGGCCGCCCGUACCCCAAACCGACACUGGUGGUCAGGUAGAGAAUACCAAGGCGAUCGAGCGAAUCCUGGUCAAGGAACUCGGCAAAUCACUCCCGUGCCUUC